CUCCAGCAGACCCUCCCUCCCAGACCCUCCUACUUCCUGGACAGCAUCCAUGGAGGGGUCUGGGAGGGAGGGUCUGCUGGAG